AAUGAACGCUGGCGGCGUGCCUAACACAUGCAAGUCGAGCGAGAAAGUGGCUUCGGCCAUGAGUACAGCGGCGAACGGGUGAGUAACACGUGGAUAACCUGCCUGGAAGUGGGGGAUAACUCGGGGAAACCUGAGCUAAUACCGCAUACGCCUUCCGAACUGCGGUUCGGAUUGGAAAGGUUGCCUCUUCUUCGAAAGCUAUCGCUUCCAGAGGGGUCCGCGCCUGAUUAGCUAGUUGGCGAGGUAACGGCUCACCAAGGCGACGAUCAGUAGCCGGCCUGAGAGGGUGAUCGGCCACACUGGAACUGAGACACGGUCCAGACUCCUACGGGAGGCAGCAGUGGGGAAUCUUGCGCAAUGGGCGAAAGCCUGACGCAGCGACGCCGCGUGCGGGAAGAAGGCCUUCGGGUUGUAAACCGCUUUCAGGAGGGACGAAGCCACUCGGGUUAAUAGCCUAGAGGGUGACGGUACCUCCAGAAGAAGCCCCGGCUAACUACGUGCCAGCCGCCGCUGUAACAC
rnacentral:rRNA from 1 species